CUUGGAGACUGACCCGAGGCCCCUGGUUAGAAAUAUAAAACGUACCCUGUGGAAAACAUGCCGGGAUUUGUCAGCUUGCUCUCCGUUCUAUCCAUCCCUCUGUUGGUGGAGCUGAAUUCUCCGUCGAAUUCCAGUCCAACCUCUCCUGCUUCCUGACUCCUCUCCAGUGAUGCAAAAGCACAUGAGGAAGCACACCUCAUUUAAGAAGCAGAUGCGUCGUUGGGGACAUCAGAGGAGACGCACGUAUCAAGCUAGAAAUAAAAGUCAAAAUCUGCAGCCUUCAGUUGCUGGGUCUGUUCUUCGGUUUUGAUUAAGAAUGGACCCAAACCAAAACAGUUGUCCCGUUCACAUGUUGGAAAUGACUCCCUCCGCAUCAUUUACUGUGGCCUGUAGUAAACUGAACCAAAGGUGAAAAACCCGGGGAGCAAAGUUGCCGACAAAUCUGCAACCGACCGCCAGGGUAAUCGGGGACCGGAACGUCAAACGACGCGAGCGACUGUGCUGCAAAUAAAGCUUUAUAGAACCUCUUGAAUUUAAAUCCCUAGGAAGCACCACGAAACAAGGGACAUAUCGAUGCUGCUGCCGUGAAGGAGCAGCCCAGUUUGUUUAGAAAAUAAGUGACACAAAUGGAACAGUUGUCUAGGUUUAGGCAGAAAGACCAAGCUCGCGUGUGCAGUCCAGGUGUCGGAGCGCGUCUGGGAGCAGCUCCUCAGAGGGCUAACCUGGGGUUCACAGACGAUCGUGCGACAGGUUAUAUAGCUCGGGAUAACUUGGAUCACAAAUUUAUCUGAAGAAAAUAGAGCUCCAAAAAUUGAACUGUUACCACUGGAGACUCAAUGGCACCAUCUGACAAGUUAUUUCCAAAAGCAGUCUCUUUAGACAUCCUGUUGACCUUGAUGCUAGCACUGUCACAUAAGAUUGGACUAUGAUUUCAUCAGCAUAUUAAGUAAGUUCUCAAUCAUUACAUUAAAAAAUAGGAAUAUGAAUCCAUUUUGGAAUCACUUUUUUCUUGCAGAGAUAAGCAGUUACCUGUAGUCCUAACCAGUGGUUUAAGACUAAGGGUCAAAUGAAGUCUGGGUGACCCCAUGGUUAAACACUCUAUCUAGUGAGGCAUAACCAGUUGCCAGUUAGGAACCUGAAAUGUUUGGUCUAACCAUGGAUAUGAUGAGUUCACUCACCACACCCAAAGGACCUGUGAGGUGGGGUGGGGCUGGUGAGCUGGGAGUCCGCAGUCCAUUCAAGUCAGUCCGGCUGUGAGUCCGGACUCCACUGAUUCAUUCACCUGGAGAAUCUGUGCAGUGAAAUAUGUAAGUCAAGCGGACAGCAUGACGUGAUGGAGGAAAUGUUCAAUAGUGUAACGUUCUUGGUCCUUUGCUUAGUCCAAUGGCUUUAGCCAUUGUCAGUUUGUAAUAUGUUUGAACGAAGUUGAAGCUAAGUAUGUAGAUUUAAUUCUAUUUCAAUGCAAUUACAGGGCCAGGUCAUGAGAACUUGUGGAAGAAGUUCAUUGAGCUGCUUCUUCAGAUGGAGGACUUUCUCUGGAAUUAAAAGGCUCUGAGAAGUUUAAUUUAUCAUAGCCUCCGUGGUUCACAAGGUUUCACUUUGUUACAGAUGUGAUAAAAAUACUCAAACCCUCAAAGAAACACACAUAUUGCCUACUUUUUUCACAUUCUAUUUG
rnacentral:lncRNA from 1 species